UCGGGAAUUUUGGGCAAUGGGCGAAAGCCUGACCCAGCAACGCCGCGUGAGGGAUGAAGUAUUUCGGUAUGUAAACCUCGAAAGAAUGGGAAGAAUAAAUGACGGUACCAUUUAUAAGCUCCGGCUAACUACGUGCCAGCAGCCGCGGUAAUACGUAGGGAGCAAGCGUUGUUCGGAUUUACUGGGCGUAAAGGGCGCGUAGGCGGCGCGGUAAGUCACUUGUGAAAUCUCUGAGCUUAACUCAGAACGGCCAAGUGAUACUGCUGUGCUAGAGUGCGGAAGAGGCAACCGGAAUUCUUGGUGUAGCGGUGAAAUGCGUAGAUAUCAAGAGGAACACCUGAGGCGAAGGCGGGUUGCUGGGCCGACACUGACGCUGAUGCGCGAAAGCGUGGGUAGCAAACA
rnacentral:rRNA from 1 species